rnacentral:sRNA from 1 species
AAGUACGGCAAAGCCAAACACUGACAUUGGGGUUUGUAGUGAAAGUGAGGCAUUUAUUGCAUCGCACCAAGCAAGAAGAAUCAGGCAGCUCAUGCUUAAGACCCCAACUCCCUGAUGGUUUACAGGUAAGGGGUUUUUUGUGUGUUUUUUUUUUUUUUUUUUUUUGAAACAGAGUUUCACUCUUGUCACCCACGCUGGAGUGCAAUGGCGAGAUUUCGGCUCACUGCAACCUCCACCUCCCGAUUUCAAGUGAUUCAUCUGCCUCAGCCUCCCAAGUAGCCGGGAUUACAGGCACCCACCACCAUGCCCAGCUAGUUUUUGUAUUUUUAGUAGAGAAGGGGUUUCACCAUGUUGGCAGGCUGGUCUCAAACUCCUGGCCUCGGCCUCCCAAGGUGCUGGGAUUACAGGCAUGAGCCACUGCGCCCAGCCCAGGCAAAGGAAAUUUUAACAAAAGAAUCAAAUGUGCAAGAGGUUCGUUGCCCUGUUACUGUCUGUGGAGAUGUGCAUGGUCAAUUUCAUGAUCUUAUGGAACUCUUUAGAAUUGGUGGAAAAUCACCGGAUACAAACUACUUAUUCAUGGGUGACUAUGUAGACAGAGGAUAUUAUU